rnacentral:rRNA from 1 species
GUCGAGGGGCAGCAUGACCUAGCAAUAGGUUGAUGGCGACCGGCGCACGGGUGAGUAACACGUAUCCAACCUACCGGUUAUUCCGGGAUAGCCUUUCGAAAGAAAGAUUAAUACCGGAUAGUAUAACGAGAAGGCAUCUUUUUGUUAUUAAAGAAUUUCGAUAACCGAUGGGGAUGCGUUCCAUUAGUUUGUUGGCGGGGUAACGGCCCACCAAGACAUCGAUGGAUAGGGGUUCUGAGAGGAAGGUCCCCCACAUUGGAACUGAGACACGGUCCAAACUCCUACGGGAGGCAGCAGUGAGGAAUAUUGGUCAAUGGACGAGAGUCUGAACCAGCCAAGUAGCGUGAAGGAUGACUGCCCUAUGGGUUGUAAACUUCUUUUAUAUGGGAAUAAAGUGAGCCACGUGUGGCUUUUUGUAUGUACCAUACGAAUAAGGAUCGGCUAACUCCGUGCCAGCAGCCGCGGUAAUACGGAGGAUCCGAGCGUUAUCCGGAUUUAUUGGGUUUAAAGGGAGCGUAGGCGGACUAUUAAGUCAGCUGUGAAAGUUUGCGGCUCAACCGUAAAAUUGCAGUUGAUACUGGUCGUCUUGAGUGCAGUAGAGGUAGGCGGAAUUCGUGGUGUAGCGGUGAAAUGCUUAGAUAUCACGAAGAACUCCGAUUGCGAAGGCAGCUUACUGGACUGUAACUGACGCUGAUGCUCGAAAGUGUGGGUAUCAAACAGGAUUAGAUACCCUGG